rnacentral:rRNA from 1 species
AUUGAACGCUGGCGGCAGGCUUAACACAUGCAAGUCGAACGGUAACAUAAAGAAGCUUGCUUCUUUGAUGACGAGUGGCGGACGGGUGAGUAAUGCUUGGGAAUCUAGCUUAUGGAGGGGGAUAACUACGGGAAACUGUAGCUAAUACCGCGUAGAAUCGGAAGAUGAAAGUGUGGGACCUUCGGGCCACAUGCCAUAGGAUGAGCCCAAGUGGGAUUAGGUAGUUGGUGAGGUAAAGGCUCACCAAGCCGACGAUCUCUAGCUGGUCUGAGAGGAUGACCAGCCACACUGGGACUGAGACACGGCCCAGACUCCUACGGGAGGCAGCAGUGGGGAAUAUUGCGCAAUGGGGGCAACCCUGACGCAGCCAUGCCGCGUGAAUGAAGAAGGCCUUCGGGUUGUAAAGUUCUUUCGGUAGCGAGGAAGGCAUUUAGUUUAAUAAACUAGGUGAUUGACGUUAACUACAGAAGAAGCACCGGCUAACUCCGUGCCAGCAGCCGCGGUAAUACGGAGGGUGCGAGCGUUAAUCGGAAUAACUGGGCGUAAAGGGCACGCAGGCGGUGACUUAAGUGAGGUGUGAAAGCCCCGGGCUUAACCUGGGAAUUGCAUUUCAUACUGGGUCGCUAGAGUACUUUAGGGAGGGGUAGAAUUCCACGUGUAGCGGUGAAAUGCGUAGAGAUGUGGAGGAAUACCGAAGGCGAAGGCAGCCCCUUGGGAAUGUACUGACGCUCAUGUGCGAAAGCGUGGGGAGCAAACAGG